AUGGCCGUCAUCAAGAACAGUAGUACCAUGCUGCUGAGUGUGAUGGCUCUCAUGGCCUUGUGUACCACUCUCCCAUCCUGCCAUGCAGUUAGAACACAAGGUAUAGGCAUACAAUUUUCCACUGAUCAGAAUUACAUAUGUAUAGAACAGAGUGCACUGAUGAAAAUUGUUCUGCAGAUGGAUGGAGCAAACAGAUGUGUUUCAAUUGGCAGGGCUGCACUUUGGAUGUGUGUCGUCAGUACUGCUCGCACAGGGGCUUCGAUUGGCAAGGAGCCUUCUGUAAUGGUUCUUCUGACCAGUGUUGCUGCCAAUACAAUGGUCAGAGAUGAACCAACCUUUGUACUCGUAAAAGAAUUCAUCCUGCAAUUCUUGCCUGCAACAGAUUAUCCAGUAAUAAUGAUAAACGUGAUAGAUUUUGAUGUAUAUGAUCCCAUUAAUCUUCCUGCAAGAUUAAUGGCCAACAUAUUCUUGCAAAAUAAAUAAUUGACUCCUA
rnacentral:lncRNA from 1 species